rnacentral:rRNA from 1 species
AGUGAACGCUGGCGGUAGGCCUAACACAUGCAAGUCGAACGGCAGCACAGUAAGAGCUUGCUCUUACGGGUGGCGAGUGGCGGACGGGUGAGGCAUACAUCGGAAUCUACUUUUUCGUGGGGGAUAACGUAGGGAAACUUACGCUAAUACCGCAUACGACCUACGGGUGAAAGCAGGGGAUCUUCGGACCUUGCGCGAUUGAAUGAGCCGAUGUCGGAUUAGCUAGUUGGCGAGGUAAAGGCCCACCAAGGCGACGAUCCGUAGCUGGUCUGAGAGGAUGAUCAGCCACACUGGAACUGAGACACGGUCCAGACUCCUACGGGAGGCAGCAGUGGGGAAUAUUGGACAAUGGGCGAAAGCCUGAUCCAGCCAUACCGCGUGAGUGAAGAAGGCCUUCGGGUUGUAAAGCCCUUUUGUUGGGAAAGAAAAGCAGCAGGUUAAUACCCCGCUGUUCUGACGGUACCCAAAGAAUAAGCACCGGCUAACUUCGUG